AGAGUGCAAAGAUCGUGGUGCCAAGAACUUGCAGAACGCUCAGACAAGCACCCGGGGCCUGGCCACCAUGGCCACCGGGGAAGGAGCGCCCGGGUGCCUUGGAACGCCGCCCUGCAGCAGCACCUCGCACAGAUGCCUUGUGCAACUUCAGCGUGUCCAAGUGCAGGGAACAGAGGUGUGCUCGGGUUAUCAUCACCAUCACUAAGGAAGCCACAGACCAAAAACACAAAGCGAUUUUUAACCUCUGAAAAAAAAAGACCUGUGGUUUUACCCCGUGUCAGGAGUCCGUGAAGGGUGACAGGGAUGGCUCUGGUUUAUUAAAGGGGACGGGAAAAUUGUAGAAUAUGCUUCAGGAAUAGUUUCACCCGCUGUCCUGGACAAUCCAGGUCGCUCAAAGUCUUGCUGGAGGUUGCUGCAUUUUCACUUUCCAGGCGAUUCUCUCAGCAGAAUGGAGUAUCAGCCCACUUGUGCAGGAGGAACAGAAGAAGGCAGAACGCCCGCCCGAGGUUAUCCAGCAGGACACGGAUUAGGCCAUGUGUUUCCCGGAUCAGCUGAAAAGAAAUCCUCUUGUGCUGGAUCUCAGCCUCCCUCAUCCUUGUCCGCCCGCAUCCCUUGAGGGUGACGGGUCCCGGACAGCGGCUCGGGCGCAGCCCUUUGGAAAGUGGCGCUCGCAAGGAGCUCUUGUUCCUCCGUGUUCUCCCUCCUGUGACAGCCCUGCGUGUGUUGAACCACCCGUGCGAGAUGCCGGAGCUGUUCUACCCGCAGAGAUGUGUCCGCGCCUCCCAGAGGAGCGGCCCAAGGAAUCCCCAGGGCACGGAGCUGAGCUGAGCUCCAGCUCGGGGCUAAGCUCCCAUGCGUGUCCUGUCUGUCCUCUGCUGAUCCCGGCAUGGACAACGCAUCAGCGCUGUGUGAAAUAAAGCUUUUGUUUCUCUCGA